AAUGAACCAAAGGAGCAGAAAAUAAAAAGAUUAAUUAAAAAAAGGUAAGCUGAUUUACAAUGUAAUAUGUAUGUGAAUAAACUAUCCUUUUCAGAUUUAAAAUUGGACAUGUUUAAUAGGUAUGUGAACUUGUCUUUUUCAAAACCAAACAGGCUGUUGAUGUCUCAUUCGAUAACUUGGAAGACUCUGAUGAAGAUCAACAUGUCAAUGAUGGUGUUAAGAAUAGAGAGUGAAGAAACAUAAUCAUAGACGACGAUGAAUUUAGUGAUGAAAACACCAACAAAUGCAAAUAGUAGAGUCUUUAGUGUUGGUUAUAGCAUAUUGUGUGUGCUUAAAUAAAACUAUUUGGUCCUCUUUUUAGCCUUUUGUUUGGUUGUUUGAAAGACUGCGAAGAACCCUGUCAAAGUUGUUGGUCAUUCACAUCACUUUAGAAUAUGGAAAGUGCUGGCUUCUUCACUGAAAAACUUGAGCUCGGUUUGUCAACUAUGUCCUGAAGUUUGUUUUGAUUUGAUUUCUACCUCUUUGUUAUGGCACUAGAGUAGUUUCUUGCAGAUAUAAUCCAUUUAUUAGAUUGGUAACUUAUAUUUUCG
rnacentral:lncRNA from 1 species